GGAGCUGCCAGGAAACAGGGUAGGUUUGUUUGUUUUGUGUUUUUAAAAUUAUUUAUUCCAGGAUGGCUCCACUUGUGUGGUGAGAGAGUGACUCAGAGUGCCUGGGACGCCACCUCCAAAGGGUGGUGAGACCCUCGGCCGCUGAUGCAGACGCAAGAAUAGAACCGAGUGGAGGAGACGCCGUCCCAUUAGCCCUGAACAGCGGUCGUGUUAGGUGAAGACUCGGCGCUCUCCUACCGAAAGGGUCCGUCCGGCUGCCACAGGGGGACGCAGAGCAUCUCUCCCGACUCGAGGGUCGACAUUCCUGUGGGGUCCAGAGAGCCUGCUCGGGGCCAUUCAGGUCCCUGCUCUUCCACGCGUCCUCGGGGCGCAACCUGCCUCGGACCCCAGAUGCUAGGCCGUCUCCCCGCUCCUGGCACCCCAGCGCUAGUUCCUGCCAUCAGUUCUGUAGCCUGUUAUCCACCGUUGUCCCAGUCACGUCAUCGUAUCACCUACCUGGUCUUUCCCCUCGAAGAUGCUGCUGGAAGUUUUUGAAGAUGGGCCCUAGCAAAGCUCAUUCAUUCGCACUCUCUGGUCCCAUCGCCGACGCUCUCUGCCCGCUCGGCUGCAGCUGCAUGGCCGCCUCGCGGAGACGUGAACUCGCCACUCGCCGACCUCAGGGCCUUGGCACGUGCCGUUCCCUCCGCCUACAACACUCUUUCCAGGUCAUCCACACGGCACCCUCCCUCCUUCCCUCCCCCCUCACAUGCCCAACAUUCGGUGAGACCUCCCCACCACCCUGGUCCCUGGUCCCUGCACCUUCCACACACGCCCCCUCCCUCGUGUGAUUUCCGUUGAGCUCCCAUCCCCUCGAAAAUGGCCCACGCGGCUUGUGUCUUCCUUAUCUGCCUUCCCCACUGGAAUGUCAGCUCCCCGCAGGCAGGGAAUUUUCACACUUUUGUUCGCUGCCACAGCCCCGCGCCCAGAACCGCGCCCGGCGUAUCCACAGGAACCAUGGCGUGGCCCCUGCGCACCAGUCACUCACCUCGGCCCUGGGCAUUUCUGCCAGUUUCCCCAGUGACUGAGGACUUCACCCUCCAUGAGGCGCUAGGCAAGCUCCUGAAGCUGCAGGAAGCUGCCUGCUCGUUCCCGGGCGAGCCGUGUGGACGGGCCAUGCUCUGCCUCCGCCAUCCCUGCACCGCCCCCGGGACUCUGUGCUCCGCUUUCCCAGGGCCCGGCAGACGGGUCCCUCCAGAGCCUCAGUGACUGAGGAAGGCAGGUGCCCUCCUCCAGGGCCCCGGCUCCUGGCUUCCGUGAGCUCCCGGGAGGAAACCAUCUGCAGGCUGGCGCUCACUGGUGUGAGCAGAGCUCUCCCUGGUCGGCUGUGGGCGAGGCAGCCGCGCAGGCCGGCGGCCAUUACCCAGGCUUUCCAGACAGCGAUGCCCAAGCCACGGGCAGAGGGACAGCAGCCCGCUGGACAGUCUGCGUAAGGGACACCCGGAGGGAGCGGGCCUCCGUCGCCCUCUCCGCCCGGCUGUGACCCUGUAUUUCUCAGCCCAACAUGGUUACACACCGACCCCCCCACCCCGGAGACCGGUCCCCGAGGCUCACCCAUCUUUCUGCUUUGAACGCUGACAGCUGGUUACCCCUCACAGAUCAGAACGACGUUUCUUUCAUCUGCCUUGAAAAGCCUUUUGUGAGACGGGGAGUGACCCACCAGUAACCUCUCUAUUCCUGUCUGAAGGGGAAACACUUCCAGAUCAGAGACCGCGCGGCGGUGCCAAGACCGGGCAUAUAUGAAUCCUGGAUUCUGCCGCCGAGGCCCCGUCCCUAACCCCGUGCCAGUCGCCGCUUCAGAAACGAGCCAGCGGCGGAGCAGAGCCAUCGAGAAUCGGGGGGUUGAUUCUUUCCCCCAAUUAAGUCGUUUGAAACCAACGUUUCCACAUUUUGGGGGGGUUGAUGUCAUAAAAUUCCCAUGUCUGACUGCA